UACAGAGGUCUCAAGCGUUGUUCGGAAUCACUGGGCGUAAAGCGCACGUAGGCGGACUCUUAAGUCGGUGGUGAAAUCCUGGAGCUCAACUCCAGAACUGCCUUCGAUACUGAGAGUCUUGAGUCCGGGAGAGGUGAGUGGAACUGCGAGUGUAGAGGUGAAAUUCGUAGAUAUUCGCAAGAACACCAGUGGCGAAGGCGGCUCACUGGCCCGGUACUGACGCUGAGGUGCGAAAGCGUGGGGAGCAAACAGG
rnacentral:rRNA from 1 species